UUAAAUGCCUACGCGCGGGCGGGCAGGGGAGGUGGCCUUUGCCGCGAUUCAGAGCCAGACGCGCAGUCUGAGCCACGCUGAGGGGCUGCGCCGCGCGCCUGCGUCCGCUCCCGGCCUUGCGCGGCCCCCUGCGCGGACUAAAACUGUCAUUAUCUUCAUUUCUCAUGACAUGGGUCCUAAACAUGCCGCAAACCAACAUUAAUAGUUCCACUUCAACUUUCUGUGUCCAGGUAGGCACACAAACACUAACAAAAACCUCUUUUCCUUCAGGAAUCACCCAAGACUCUCCUACUUUCUCUUCCCCCAUGAUCAGUCACUCUCCACAUCCCUUGGUCCCAAUGUCCGAAAUAGCUUAAGUCUUUAUUUUUAUUCCUCUCUACCUAGUUCAGCUUCUGACCACAUCUCUCCUGGAUCUUUGCAACAGUCGUUUAACUGAUUUUCUUACCAUUCUCACCUUAUACUUUAUCCUUUACAUUGGAGGGAACUUUCUUUUUUUGUUUGUUUUGUUUUGUUUUUGGCUGUGCUGACUGCAUGUGGAAGUUCCUGGGACAGGGAUUGAAUCCAAGCCACAGCAGUGACUCAAGCUGCUGCAGUGACCAGACUGGAUCCUUAACCUGCUGCUCCAUAAGAGAGCUCCCAGAGGAAGCAUUCUAAAACUUAAGUUCAAGUUACCAUUUUGCUUGAAACUCCUUAAGGUUCCCCAUAAUAGAAAAAAAGUAUUUUGUCAUUCUUUGUCAUUCAUGACUCUUUUUUUUUUCUUUUUAGAACUACAUCUGCAGUAUAUGGAGGUUCCUAGGCUAGGGGUCGAAUUGGAGCUGUAGCUGCCGGCCUAUGCUACAGCCAUGCCAGAUCCAAGCAUCUGCAACCUACACCACAGCUCACAGCAAUGCCAGAUCCCACUGAGCAGGGCCAGGGAUUGAACCUGCAUCCUCACAGAUACUAGUCAGGUUCCAUUACCACUGAGCCACAGUGGGAACUCCAAGUCAUUCAGGAUUCUUUAAAGACUCAUUUUAUUGCAGUAGCUUCAUCAUAAGUAAUACCAUUUAUGAAAUCACGAUAGUGAUGUGCUGUCUAUAGGUCCUUUUAGAAUAUGCAUUUUUAAAAAUACAUAUAUCAUUGUCCUUGUGCCACCUGCAGUUAUUUUUCCUAUUGGCCCAAAUUUGGAUGCAUUGACUUGACAGAUGAAAUCUAAGCCUGCAUUAAAGCCAAAGAGCCUCUGUGGUGUCAUCCCUCUUCUACUUUGCCAUCCCCCUCUUGUUACUGUCCUUUGUACCAUACAUUCAUGAAGACUGAAAUCCUAGGAUUUGGCUUUAAUGCAGGUCAUACAGUUCUUUCAUCUCUCUAUGCCUUUGCUUGGAGCAGCCCUCCCGUUCUUUCCUUAGUGAACUUUUUAUCCUUUAGAGGUCACCAUAUCAGUCUUCAUCUUUUUGAUAUUUUCCCUGAAAAUCCAUCCUUCUGUGUCUGUAUCUACUUGUAGCAUUUUUUGCAUUCGAGUCUGCAAGCAUUUGAGGACAGGGCCCAAGUCUUCUCUCUUUAUCUUACUUCCUGGCAUAGAACUAGAGUAUAUGGUAGGGCUCAAGAAAGUUCGUUGCAUUUAGCUGAAUCUUUCAAAGUUAAAAUCGGAUAGGAGAGUCCACAAUCAAGGGAGUCAUUCUAAUUCCUGAAAGUCUUCUAUGAUCUCUAUCGCACCGGUUCAUAAAAGGAUGUUAGAACUGAUCAUACCUAGAGUUGCCCUUUUAGGAUGAGACGUAUGGAUGAGGUGAUCCCAGAUUCACAACUCCGAAGCCUACACAUGCCUCUUCUGCCUUUCAGUUGACAUGUAUUGGUCAAUACAUAUUAGGUUAUGACUCAUUAUACUUACUGUAUACUGUUAGAUUACUUGCAGAACUCAGAUACUUUAAACACUACAUGAUGGGGACUGGAUUCUUAGGAAAUAAACCAAAAUAGAGAAAAAGCUAUAUUUAUAAU
rnacentral:lncRNA from 1 species